rnacentral:rRNA from 1 species
UAGGGAAUAUUAGAAAUGGACGAAAGUCUGAUCUAGCAACACCGCGUGUGCGAUGAAGGCCUUCGGGUUGUAAAGCACUUUUUGGAAGGAUUAGGAAGGAAUGUACUUCCAGAAUCAGUCUCGGCUAACUACGUGCCAGCAGCCGCGGUAACACGUAGGAGGCGAACGUUAUCCGGAUUUACAGGGCGUAAAGCGCGUGUAGGUGGUUCUGUAAGUAGGGCGUGAAAGCUCCUGGCUCAACUGGGAGAGGCCGUUCUAAACUGCAGAGCUAGAGGAUGGUAGAGGGAGGUGGAAUUCCGGGUGUAGCGGUGGAAUGCGCAGAUAUCCGGAGGAACACCAGUGGCGAAGGCGGCCUCCUGGACCAUUCCCGACACUCAGACGCGAAAGCUAGGGUAGCAAACGG